rnacentral:sRNA from 1 species
GCUGGGCAUGGUGGUGCAUGCCUGUAAUCCCAGUGACUCAGGAGUCUGAGGCAGAAGGAUCACAAGUUCAAAGCCAGCCUUAGCGACUUAGUGAGGCCCUAAGCAAAUUAAUGAGACCCUGUUUCUA